AACGAACGCUGGCGGCGUGCCUAACACAUGCAAGUCGUGCGAGAAAAGUUCCUUCGGGAGCGAGUAAAAGCGGCGCACGGGUGAGUAACACGUAGGUAACCUGCCCCCCAGUCUGGAACAACUAGAGGAAACUCUAGCUAAUGCCGGAGGAGACCACGAUCCCUUCGGGGGUUGCGGCCAAAGAUGGCCUCUACUUGUAAGCUAUCGCUGAGGGAUGGGCCUGCGGGCCAUUAGCUUGUUGGUGAGGUAACGGCUCACCAAGGCUGUGAUGGCUAGCUGGUCUGAGAGGAUGACCAGCCACACUGGGACUGAGACACGGCCCAGACUCCUACGGGAGGCAGCAGUGGGGAAUAUUGCGCAAUGGGCGAAAGCCUGACGCAGCGACGCCGCGUGGGUGAUGAA
rnacentral:rRNA from 1 species